UACGAGGGGGGCGAGCGUUGUUCGGAAUUAUUGGGCGUAAAGGGCGCGUAGGCGGUCGGAUAAGUCUUGUGUGAAAUCUUCGGGCUCAACUCGAAGUCUGCACAGGAAACUAUCUGGCUUGAGUGUGGGAGAGGUGAGUGGAAUUCCUGGUGUAGCGGUGAAAUGCGUAGAGAUCGGGAGGAACACCAGUGGCGAAGGCGGCCUUCUGGACCAAUACUGACGCUCAUGCACAAAAGCGUGGGGAGCAAACGAGG
rnacentral:rRNA from 1 species